CUGGUGGCAAUUAACAGUCCCAAGUAUCCUCUGCAGUAAUGCAAAGGAAGUAGGAGGGGAUGGGAUCCUAGACUAACAGAAGGCACCAUAGCUGCCUCUGAGGACCUUGAAGAUCCCAACUACCCUCUGCCAUAAUGCAUAGAGUUGAAGGGGAUUCAUUUAAGCACAUUAACAGUCCCAUAUACGCUCCAUGAUAAUGCAAAGGGAGUAGGUA